GUGGUGCAGCUACCAUGCAGUCGAACGAUGAACCGCUUUCGGGCGGGGAUUAGUGGCGAACGGGUGAGUAACACGUGGGCAAUCUGCCCUGCACUCUGGGACAAGCCCUGGAAACGGGGUCUAAUACCGGAUAUGACUGUCCAUCGCAUGGUGGAUGGUGUAAAGCUCCGGCGGUGCAGGAUGAGCCCGCGGCCUAUCAGCUUGUUGGUGAGGUAGUGGCUCACCAAGGCGACGACGGGUAGCCGGCCUGAGAGGGCGACCGGCCACACUGGGACUGAGACACGGCCCAGACUCCUACGGGAGGCAGCAGUGGGGAAUAUUGCACAAUGGGCGAAAGCCUGAUGCAGCGACGCCGCGUGAGGGAUGACGGCCUUCGGGUUGUAAACCUCUUUCAGCAGGGAAGAAGCGAAAGUGACGGUACCUGCAGAAGAAGCGCCGGCUAACUACGUGCCAGCAGCCGCGGUAAUACGUAGGGCGCAAGCGUUGUCCGGAAUUAUUGGGCGUAAAGAGCUCGUAGGCGGCUUGUCACGUCGGUUGUGAAAGCCCGGGGCUUAACCCCGGGUCUGCAGUCGAUACGGGCAGGCUAGAGUUCGGUAGGGGAGAUCGGAAUUCCUGGUGUAGCGGUGAAAUGCGCAGAUAUCAGGAGGAACACCGGUGGCGAAGGCGGAUCUCUGGGCCGAUACUGACGCUGAGGAGCGAA
rnacentral:rRNA from 1 species